AGAAAGAGAAAGGAUGACGUGCGGGUAAGCUUAUACAGGAUAGAUACCCUCUGAUUGAUCCAAGCUUUUGAUCCCAAUCGUGGAAUUGCAAAAUGCAUGUGACAAGACUGAUUCACUGGGGUCCAUUGAUGACUCUGUUGAUUAUAACUUGGGUUUCUUUUGCUACUCUCUACUCAAGUUUCGUGCUUAGCUCUUCCCAAUCCAUUUUUCAAGUUGGGAUUGUGUUAUUUUAUAUGACUUGUGCUGCUCUCACCAUUUACCAUUUCAUUUCUGCAAUCUAUCUGGGACCAGGAUAUCUUUGUGAGGGUUGGAAGCCGAAGGAUGAGCAAGACUCCCAAUUUCUGCAAUAUUGUUCACUUUGUAGGGGCUACAAGGCACCUAGAGCACAUCAUUGUAGAAAAUGUCAAAGAUGCGUACUCAAAAUGGAUCACCACUGUCCAUGGAUUAAUAAUUGUGUUGGACAUAUCAAUCAUGGACAUUUUAUCUCAUUUUUGUUCUUUGCAAUAAUUGGUUCUGCAAGUGCAUCCUACAUUUUGUCCUUUUUCUUAUAUUACAGCAUAAAUAGAACAUGGUAUGAUUAUUAUGACAUAGUUACUGAGCCAAUUCUAUCUCUGUCAAUUUGGUCCUUGUUGUUUCUUAUGCUCGCACUAGGUUUAUCAAUUGGUGUUGUGCUUGCUGUCGGUGCCUUGUUUAUUAUUCAGCUAAGAGCUAUUAUACGUAAUCGGACUGGUAUUGAAGAUUGGAUAAUAGAGAAAGCGCUGUAUAGACUCAAGGAUAAAAGUGAAAUGUUUAUUCAUCCAUAUUUCUUAGGUUACUGGAAUAAUUUUAAGGAAGUAAUUAGCUUUUCAUGUAAACCUGCAUCGAAUGGAAUCGACUGGCCUAUAAGAGCGGGCUCUGGAAAUUAUGACCUAACAUCAGAGCAGCUUCACCAGAAAGCGGAAAAACGACUAAGAAUGCGAGAGUAUAUUGUUACUCGUUCAUAUAGUGGCUACAUGUGUCCGUUAAUUAGCCAAGGUCUCAAGGUAGCAUUGCAUCCUCCUUUGACCGGUGAGCCUAGAAUAGUUUCGAAUAAAGGAGACGUAGUUAAAGUAUCGCGUUGGAAAAAAUAUUGGUUGUACGGCGAUAAAAUUAUGCUCAACUCCGAACGUAGGGUACGUGGGUGGUUUCCUAGAAAAUGUGCUGUGGAAAUGAGUGAAAGUUUUAAAAGUAUAACAGGAGAUAACUGGACUAAAAAGAUAAUUUAGUUGGGCACGCAGUUUGGAAAUUAUGGUUGACAUAUCAAUUGUAAAUUACAAAUAUCACAAGCAGUGUCGUAGCUAUAAGUGGACAAGAAUAACAUCUUCGACAUCACACUCGGCCUCCUGAAUUCUCUAAAGUAUAUUCUCAGCUUUAUAUUGUGUAACUAAUUAUUAAUAGUUAUUUAUUGAAAUGAUCGGGGAUUUUGGUAAUAAAAUUUUAACUUCUGUUGAAAAAUGAUUAGCCUUUAAAAAAUUAUCCUCGAAGCUGUAGGCAAAUCUUAUAAAUAUAAACAAAAUGGAAUCUACAAACCAUUUUUUAUUGAGAUCUACACUAUUAAGUCAUUUAUAUAACUAGAUAGUCUUUCGUUUUUAGAAAACAACCUUCACAAGGAUAAUUUUUUAUCUUUUUCAACUGCACGAACAAUGAAAAAAUAAAUGAUAUCCCGUCAAACUCACAGGGGUGUGCUUGAACCAAAUUUUCUACAGGAAAAUAUGGUUAAAAUAUUCGUAUUUUAUAUUCUUAAGAUAAAUGGUAUAACAAAUUAUGACUCUAAUCAUUUUCAAACUUUCCUCACAAGAUGGGAAGGCAAAUCUUAUGAUUCUCAAUCUUUAUCUCCACUUUUAAAUCCAGAAAGGAAUAGAUUGUAUCAAGUGGUAUGCCAUUAUAUCAAUGCCUUCAAUAUCUCAUUUACAAUUUGUUCCUUCCUCAGGAUUUCAUCUUCAGCCAAGGUCGUAUGGAGUCCCUUUCAUCAACUUAUCAAAGACUAUAAUCAUCUCAAAUUUUCCAAAAGGCUAUAGCACUCCAGUAAUUUUCUUUUGUGUCGUAGUAUGUUAACUCGUAGCCAGAGCCUUGUCUCGAAUUUACUCCUAAUCAUCCCAGAAUAGUUAUCACUUAGAUAAUCAAUUAAAAAAAAACAAUAAUAUUUCCUAACUUAUUUCAUUUUAGUAAUAUACAUUAUAGAUUUUACUCGUUUAAAUUCGUAGGCAUAUUAAUAGUGGAAGUUCAAUGUGCUUAAAAAAAACAUCUUCAAGAUUUUCGAAGUUUAACAAAUAUUAAUGCUGAAGAAUGAAAUUGGACUUGAUAAUUUCAUUACUUAUAAAAAUAGUUAUAUAUAUUUUUGUAGGGAUUCUAACUAAAAACUUUGUACAUUAAACAGUAUUUUGUUUAAUGUAGAAAGGUAUAGACAUACCUUAUACAUAGUCACCUUGAUUCAACACAAUGUCAUAUUCAAUUUUCCUUACUUCAAUAAAUGACUAUUAUUCAUAAAAAUGAAAUAUUGAAAUAGAUAAGAUAUUUUUUUUAUUAUAAAAUAUAUUAACUAAGGAUCCAAUAUAGCAUACAUACAACAUCAAGCAUGAUCAAUAUCACCUCCUUCCAAGUUAGAAAUUGGAAGGAGGUGAUUUAUAAGAUUAUCGUGAAUGGCACACAUAAUGAUAAUGUAUAUCUAUAAGAAUGCAAUAUAUCAAUAUACAACAAUAUAUUAGAGCCCAUUCAAAACGUUAAACAAUUAGCUUUAACCUUGAUGCGUAAAUAUUGAUAAUUUGGGAUGAACUUUACUGUGUGUAUACAUUUGAUCUAUCUUUAUGUUGAUGAUGUUACACUGUAUAUAGAGGCUAAUUCUGAAUUGUAGCUUGUCAUAAGAUUAGAAGUAGUUCUGUCAUAUUUCAAUAUAAAUCUGGGGUCAAUUUAAAUGCUAAUAUGGUUAAUCUGAAUGGCGUACAUGUAAUAAAUGAAUUAUUAUUUAUUUAUUUUUUAUUUCGAAUAGAAAGUUAUAUUUCUUAAAAAGUUGAUUACAGACAAAAUAUAUAUAUCUAAAUAAGUUGUUAGAGAUCACACAUAUAACGCCAAUAAGUUUUUUUUCCUGACUAUAGAAACAUUUUUUUUUCUUUGAAACAAAACAAUCUGAAAAAGAAAGCGAAAAAAGUGAGGCGAGAAAAAACAAAAACAACAACAACCUCACCUAUAAUACAUAAUAAUAAUAAUAAAAAUAGCAUCUGACAAAUUAGUAAAUAAAUAUAUAAUUAAAAAAUAAAAUCACAACACGCAUGAUAAAAAGCAAAAUUCAUUAAGAGCAGCGUAGGCUAUAUUUUUGUGAACUUCAAUGUUUUCAUAAUUGGACCUUGCAAUCAUGUUUUUCAAUUUUGCAAUGGAUUUGUAUCCAAUUCUGAGCCCUGUCUUUGAAGCCAUAAAUUUUUUCCUCUUGGGUGGGCCCUCUCCAUAGGUAGUGAGUGAGUUGUUAAGCCAUUAUAAACUAUAUUCCUUUUAAAUAUUCACAGUCACGAAAUAUAUGGGCGAGCGUUUUAUUUUUGUUGCCGUCUUUGCAAGGCGUGUUUUUCUCUAUAUAAUACACUCCAAAGGUGACCGGGUAUCUCAGGUAGAACUGCUUAGGAGUGAGAUAUGGAUAAAAUAAUGACCUCACAUAUUGUUUCUGGAUCUUUAUUUUGCAUUUCAAAGUGUUGCAGAGAUCGUUUGAGGCUGUCUUUUUCUCACUCACUCCUUAAUUGCUUUAUUAUCAAGUGUUGUUUUUUUGGUUACCUUAAAGACCUUAAGGAGGGAAUCGCGUAGGAUACUCACAAUCGGAUGGUUGAUUAUUGUUUUUCAGACCCAGAUUUCAAGAACCAAUGAUAUGAUAAUGUCUCAUUAUAGACUCGAUUCAACAAAAACUGUUCCUCAAUUUUGUGCUACGAGAGUUCAUUAAUUGGGCGCCAUGCAAACUCUUCUUGGGCUUGAGUUUAUAAUAACUUAUUCUGGACUCUACACUCCGAUAACUCUCCCUGAAUUAUGUGCUAGAGAAUUUAUUGUUGACCUAGUGCUACAAAAACUCAUUUUGGACUUAAAUUUAAUCGUAAGUCAUCUUAUUUUCAACGACUUAAUUAUUCGUCCUGGUCAAUGGAGAGUUGACUACCUUUGGUGUAGUUUUUACUCAAAUAAAUAAAUACAUGUUUUGCUUCAGAUUCGAAAUACAUUUUUUAUAACAACAAAUUAAUAUUUAUUGUGUUUAAACAAUAACAAAAAAUACAAAUUAUUUGAAGCAUCGAAGAUAUUCUGAUGAUAAAGUCAUCUUACUGACUCGCUGUUUAGUUUUUUAACUCUAUUUGUCUCUUUUUAUUAUUAUAUUGAUAUCUAAUUAUUUUAUUGUUCUCAUAAAUUUUAUUGUUUCCUCAGAGAUGUAAUUUUUUACCAUACAGUUGAAAAUUUUACAUGCUAUACUUAGAAUAUAUUUGUUAAAAGUAUCAUUCGCCUCACAUUCUACCUCGGCAAUCCCUGAAGCAUAAAGAUCAUGUUAAAAAAUAUUUAAAAUACUUUAAUAAAUAUUUGUUGAUAUUUUUGGGAUGAAGUUAUUUGAUUGAAUAUUGGCGGUAAUCUUUGAAAUUUGAUGAAGUUUGAAAAACAUAACAACAAGUUAGAAAUACUAGAUUUGAUGGACAGGUAAGUCCACCUCUAUUAAUUUGAUCUGCCAUAUUGGUUUUUUUCCUCAUCAGAGGUAAAAGAGAACAAAUCUACAAGAAAUUCACGUUGGCUAUAAGUGAACAUGUUUUGGUAUCAUUUGCAAGAAACUAUUUUACAUAAUGAGUGACAUACAUAUUCCGAACAAAAAUAAAUAAUAGCUGCUUCUUUUGAGUUAUUAAGACAUUGCAAGAAGUUUAUACUUUUCAUUGGGAAACAAUGUUUAAGGAAAUUGCUUCUAUGUUUGCGUCCAUUUUGUUUAAUAUCAAUGGAAAAAAUAUUUUUUAUAGUUUUUAGAGGAAUAUCUAUUUUAAUUUUUUAUUCUUAUGCACUUUUCUGGAUCUAAGUACUGCCUUAAGGUGCGUUGACUGAAGUGCAUACUUACAAUUUAGUACGUAUUUAAUCUUCUUUUUCAUUAUUAUUAUCCUUCGGUCCAUUUUUAUUGCAAUAGCUCUUAUUUUUUUUGAAGACCUCUUGACAAAACCUCUCCUUUUCAAAACAAUCAAGUAUAAUUUUUUUCUUGUAAAUCCAAAUAUUUCAUAAUGAUUUCUUCUCCUUCAAGAAAAAAAAACAUAAGGAAAUUAGAUGAAAGAGAAAAAGGUAUAAAAUUGAAACGGUUUCAUCAUUUUAAUUUUUGAAUCAGUGUGAUUUUCUCAUAUUCGAAACAUAUCGUUAUAAGGCUAAUACUACUGUUACGUCAUAGAAAACAAUACAUUACUGAUUACUCCGAUCAAUAGAAGUUUAAUUAUGAUUCUUCGCCAGGAGUUAAAGGUAGCUUUUCGUCGCUCUUCGUUACAUCCAGUCAGCGAGCAUUAUAUACAUGGAAAGUUCACACAUUUUCUGGAAACACAUUAUGGUAAUGGCUAGUGAUUUGAUUAAUGAUUCGACCAAACGACAUCAUAUUUGUUAAUCUUUCUCAUGUAUUUAUGAGAAACGUUCGUUUGGCAAGAAGAAUUCCUCUAAUCGUCUCCUAGUCUCAGUUUUCCUAUUUCUUCGGAAAAAGUUCCAAGAUGGGUUUCGAUGACUAAGGAACGAUUAAUGAAGAAAGUGAAGAGUUUUUAUCGUUUUGAAUAAGGAUUGGAUUUCACGAAAUACAAAAUCAUUUCUAUUGGAAUAAUUACAUCUAGGACUUAAGUGAAGGCAACGAUAAAAUCUAUAUAGAAUUUAUUUCAACACAUUUCUUAAAAAUAUAAUUACUAAGUUAAUCGGUGCCCUCUUAUCUUUUCUGCAAUGGAAGGAAAUAUUGAUGUUUUAAUGUUUUGUUGUAAAUUUCCUAUCAUUUUGUAAUUAGACGCUAUUGACACAUAAUUAUAAAUUUCCUUAAUUUUUAA
rnacentral:misc_RNA from 1 species